UGGGGAAUAUUGCACAAUGGAGGGAACUCUGAUGCAGCGACGCCGCGUGAGUGAUGAAGGAAUUCGUUUCGUAAAACUCUGUUCUAUGGGAAGAAAAGGACUGUACCAUAGGAGAAAGUUCCGGCUAAAUACGUGCCAGCAGCCGCGGUAAUACGUAUGGAGCGAGCGUUGUCCGGAAUUAUUGGGCGUAAAGGGUGCGCAGGCGGCUUUACAAGUUGGAUGUGAAAUAUUGUGGCUCAACCACAAACGUGCAUCCAAAACUGCAAAGCUUGAGUUAAGGAGAGGUAAGUGGAAUUCCUGGUGUAGCGGUGUAAUGCGUAGAUAUCAGGAGGAAUACCGGUGGCGAAGGCGACUUACUGGACUUAAACUGACGCUCAGGCACGAAAGCGUGGGGAGCAAACAGG
rnacentral:rRNA from 1 species